AAGAAGAAAGAAAAAAAGAAAAAACUGAAAUACUUGAUGCAUGUAUAAUGCAUAAGAGUGUGCACUAAUUGCUUUCACUUCCCAAGUUCCACUUUUUACAAGUAAUAAGUACAUCAAUUUUAUCAUUCUUAUUGCAUAAAUGCUAAUGUGUAUGGGCUUUGUUUGUCCAAUCUAAUUUUUACAGAAAUGAUAGAUGAAUUGGUCG
rnacentral:misc_RNA from 1 species